UACGUAGGGUGCAAGCGUUAAUCGGAAUUACUGGGCGUAAAGGGCGCGUAGGCGGCCUGCUAAGUCACACGUGAAAUCCCUCGGCUCAACCGGGGAACUGCGUGUGAUACUGGCGGGCUUGAAUUCGGGAGAGGGAUGUGGAAUUCCAGGUGUAGCGGUGAAAUGCGUAGAUAUCUGGAGGAACACCGGUGGCGAAGGCGGCAUCCUGGACCGAGAUUGACGCUGAGGCGCGAAAGCUAGGGUAGCAAACGGG
rnacentral:rRNA from 1 species